AUGAAAUAAAAUAACGUAAAAUAAAAUAAAUAAAUAAAUAGAAAUAAUAAUAAUUUAUUAAAAAUUAGUUAAAAGUUGAAAUUAUAAAUUUUGGUUUCAAUAUAAUAUUUUCCAAACAGUGGCAACCCGCAAUAAAAAAUAACUGCCUCAUCAUAAUUUAUUUAAAAAACAAUGGCACAUAUUAAGCCAACCAAAUAAGUAUACGUUGCAAUUAUAUAACUUUUGCAGCAAAUACUAACGCUUAUUUGAAAAUAAUAUGUCCAUCUAUUUUCGACCUUAACGACAUAUACAAAUUGUUAUUGUUACUUGAACAAAUUUAGCUUUUGGCGCUUGUGACACAAGUGUACGCACAUACAUAUCAAAUAUUACGACAGCGCCCAUAAAUGCUAUGCUAUGCGACUAAAAUUUCACCUUUAUUUGGGUGUGUGCUACAAGAAAUUAUAUCAUACAUAUAGAUAAGUGCAGCUAAAUUAGAUAUGACGGUACAUUUGUAAUUUUAGACACGCAUCAAAUUUGUAGAAACAAUCAUAUGCACAUAAACUUAUUAAUAUUUAAAAAAAAAAAACGGUGUGUCACACUGUGCCAGCAAUGCAGGGCGUAUGAGUAAUAUGAUGUGGAAAUAAACAAAAAUUAUUUGACAGUUGAACGCGGAAAUUAAUGUGAAAAGUCUGUUAAAUGAAAAAAAAUAAUAAUUAAAAAUCUGAUGAAAAUAGUUAUUUUUAAAACAUUAAUUCGGCUUUAGCGCGCAGGAAGCAAAUACACAACGUCUUCCUUUCGCUGUUGCUCUAACAUCUUGAUAAGAGAAAGAAUCAUAAAAGCUACCCCCAAGCAUCAACAAAGUUUAUAAAAAAGUUUCAAAUUUAAAAUUCCGAUUAAGGUGUCAUAAAUUAUUGCAAAAUUAACGGAUAUUUUUGUAUAUUGUUCAAGUCACGACAUAUAUAUAUGCGCUUGAUAUGUUCAAGCGUAAAAUAACCCAUACUAAAUAUUACUUCUUCAAAUUAAAAAAUUAUAAAUUUAUGCAUAAGCGCUAAAUUAGCGCUCGUAUAAACAAUUAGUGAACGUGUUCUGUUUUUAAAUACUCAUAUUACAAUACAUUUGUUUGUUGUACAGAUUUAUAUACGAGUAUGUCAAAAAGUUUUAUUAAAAAUAUUUGACGCUUAGAAAUUGUGAAAUAACUAUUGACCUGCAUGAAAAUGCCAACGCAAACUGCAUUUAAUCGUUUUUGUGUUCGUAUGCAGAUACACGAGCGAUUUCAAAUGCAAACGACAAUUAGAUUUAGUUUUAUUAACGCUCAUAUAAAAUAGAGUACGUGGGAAAGUUGAAGCAGCAAGGUCGCGCGGCAUAAACGACUUGCUUAAGUAAACAAAAAAACUGAAUAAUGUUUUAGUUAUAAAAAUAAUAGAGACUACCUUGUAGUAAUGGUAGUGCCAAUAAAAUUUACAAAACAACUUUUAUUCGUGAAAUAUGUAAACUUAAA